UCAGGAUGAACGCUGGCGGCGUGCCUAACACAUGCAAGUCGAACGGAGUUACGAGAGCUUGCUUUGUAACUUAGUGGCGGACGGGUGAGUAAUGUAUGAGCAACCUGCCUUCAGAGGGGGACAACAGUUGGAAACGACUGCUAAUACCGCAUAAUGAUUUUGGAGGCAUCUCCGGGAUACCAAAGGAGCAAUCCGCUGAAAGAUGGGCUCAUAUCUGAUUAGCUAGUUGGUGGGGUAACGGCUCACCAAGGCUGCGAUCAGUAGCCGGACUGAGAGGUUGAACGGCCACAUUGGGACUGAGAUACGGCCCAGACUCCUACGGGAGGCAGCAGUGGGGAAUAUUGGGCAAUGGGCGAAAGCCUGACCCAAGCAACGCCGCGUGAAGGAAGAAGGUCUUCGGAUUGUAAACUUCUUUUAUGAGGGACGAAGGACGUGACGGUACCUCAUGAAUAAGCCACGGCUAACUACGUGCCAGCAGCAGC
rnacentral:rRNA from 1 species